CCCGUAACGAGCGCAACCCUUGUCCUUAGUUACCAGCACGUUAUGGUGGGCACUCUAAGGAGACUGCCGGUGACAAACCGGAGGAAGGUGGGGAUGACGUCAAGUCAUCAUGGCCCUUACGGCCUGGGCUACACACGUGCUACAAUGGUCGGUACAGAGGGUUGCCAAGCCGCGAGGUGGAGCUAAUCCCACAAAACCGAUCGUAGUCCGGAUCGCAGUCUGCAACUCGACUGCGUGAAGUCGGAAUCGCUAGUAAUCGCGAAUCAGAAUGUCGCGGUGAAUACGUU
rnacentral:rRNA from 1 species